rnacentral:tRNA from 1 species
GGUGGGUUGGCUCGGUGGUUAGAGAGUAGGUCUCGUAACCAAAAGGUUGCGGGAUCGAAUCCUGCUAGAGGCCG